GCCCUUGCGAUGCAAACACCGAAUUCCCUUGUGACAGCAAUGGAUGCAUUGAUCGUUUGAGAUGGUGCGAUUCUGUAAAAGACUGCGAUGACGGUUCAGAUGAAGCAUACUGCCAUGGCCGUAAUGCUUGUUUAGAGCAUCACUUCAAAUGCAACGAUGGCACGUGCAUUCCUCUUUCUGCACGAUGCGAUAACCAUAUAGACUGCAACGAUUCUUCAGACGAAAACUGUGAACCUGGCCCUUUAACGCAUCUUAGCGAUUCUCCGUCAUACACCUAUCACACCCAAGUGCCAUCGGCAGUAAGCAGUGCUGUAAUACUUGCAUCAGAUUGGAUCUUGAAUAAACGCGGGAAAGACUUCAGCUGGG